AUUGAACGCUGGCGGCAUGCCUUACACAUGCAAGUCGAACGGUAACAGGUCUUCGGAUGCUGACGAGUGGCGAACGGGUGAGUAAUACAUCGGAACGUGCCCGAUCGUGGGGGAUAACGAGGCGAAAGCUUUGCUAAUACCGCAUACGAUCUACGGAUGAAAGCGGGGGAUCUUCGGACCUCGCGCGGACGGAGCGGCCGAUGGCAGAUUAGGUAGUUGGUGGGAUAAAAGCUUACCAAGCCGACAAUCUGUAGCUGGUCUGAGAGGAUGAUCAGCCACACUGGGACUGAGACACGGCCCAGACUCCUACGGGAGGCAGCAGUGGGGAAUUUUGGACAAUGGGCGAAAGCCUGAUCCAGCCAUGCCGCGUGCAGGAUGAAGGCCUUUGGGUUGUAAACUGCUUUUGUACGGAACGAAAAGCCUCUUUCUAAUAAAGAGGGGUCAUGACGGUACCGUAAGAAUAAGCACCGGCUAACUACGUG
rnacentral:rRNA from 1 species